rnacentral:rRNA from 1 species
UACGGGGGGGGCAAGCGUUGUUCGGAAUUACUGGGCGUAAAGGGCUCAUAGGCGGCCAACUAAGUCAGACGUGAAAUCCCUCGGCUUAACCGGGGAACUGCGUCUGAUACUGGAUGGCUUGAGUUUGGGAGAGGGAUGCGGAAUUCCAGGUGUAGCGGUGAAAUGCGUAGAUAUCUGGAGGAACACCGGUGGCGAAGGCGGCAUCCUGGACCAACACUGACGCUGAGGAGCGAAAGCCAGGGGAGCAAACGGG